AUCUAUGGCCAUGCCAUCCUGAACAAGCCCGAUCCUGUCUGAGGAAGCUAAGCAGGGUCGGGCCUGGUUAGUACUUGGAUGGGAGACCACCUAGGAAGACCAGGUGCUGUAGGCA
rnacentral:rRNA from 1 species